UGCUGACUCACCUCCUGAUACCGCAGAUUUCUUUGGCUGUGCAGCACCAGUGCAUACAUAAAUAUAGCAUUUACUUCUCCUUCUGUGGAGCACUGAGCUAUGCAACUUCCAGAGGAUGAAAUAUGAUGGGUUACUUCCACUUUUCACUGUUUGUAUUGCUUCUGCUACUUCCAAUCCUUCAUUGCUUCUGGGUGAUGAAAAUGUCUGGAAUAUUUUCUCAUCCCCUGAAGAAAUGUAAGAACUGCUCUCCCAAAUGGCAAACUAAACUGCCCAGUGACAUCGCUAUUUGGAUGGAAUUGCUCUGGACAACAAGACCCAGGAAACCACAUUUGAGCCGGUGCUGGAGAGCACUAACCUGGGGCCAAUAUUGCACCAGCUAUGGUAUAAAGAGGUAUAUCCAAUGCUGGAUAAAUGAUUAACAGAUGUAGUGAAUGUACUGGAUUUAUCUCUAGAACCAAGAGAAUCAGUUCUUGUACGUCAGUCCUUCAUACACUGUUGUUUCAAUUUCAUUAUAGUACUCCUAUAAAGAGCAUGAGACUUAGGGAUUUCAACAAAUAUCUGAGAAGAAGUUGUGUGUAAAUGAUUGUUACAGAAUGGCUCGUAAUUAAAAUCCUAACUCCUAAAAAUGGCAUUAAAAAAUUGAGUCAUAUCAUUCUGUAAAUACAGCUAAAUAGUUUCCUAAAAGGGCUAUGGAGAUCAUCACCAAAAAACCCCCUUCUCUCUACGAGCGCAUAAUUUUCUGUGGUGGC